UACGAAGGGGGCUAGCGUUGUUCGGAAUUACUGGGCGUAAAGCGCGUGUAGGCGGGCUUUUAAGUCAGGGGUGAAAUGCCGAGGCUCAACCUCGGAACUGCCUUUGAUACUGGAAGUCUUGAGUCCGGGAGAGGUGAGUGGAACUGCGAGUGUAGAGGUGAAAUUCGUAGAUAUUCGCAAGAACACCAGUGGCGAAGGCGGCUCACUGGCCCGGAACUGACGCUGAGACGCGAAAGCGUGGGGAGCAAACAGG
rnacentral:rRNA from 1 species